GGAAGCGCAUCGAAAGGUGCGUGCCGCUUGCGGCCGGCGUACAGGUGCUGCAUGGCUGUCGUCAGCUCGUGCUGUGAAGUGUUGGGUUAAGUCCCGCAACGAGCGCAACCCCUGCUGCCUGUUGCCACCACGAGAGGUGGGGACGUCAGGCGGGACCGGCCGGUGACAACCGGAGGAAGGUGGGGACGGACGUCAAGUCAUCAUGGCCCUUAUGUCCUGGGCUACACACGUGCUACAAUGGCCGGUACAGAGCGCAGCGAGGCCGCGAGGCGGAGCGAAUCGCUUAAAGCCGGUCCCAGUACGGAUUGGAGUCUGCAACCCGACUCCAUGAAGUUGGAAUCGCUAGUAAUCGCGCAUCAGCAUGGCGCGGUGAAUACGUUCCCGGGCCUU
rnacentral:rRNA from 1 species